rnacentral:misc_RNA from 1 species
GUUCUAAGUAGUAAUCCAAGUGGUAACUUGUUAUGAUUCAGGUUCAUCUGUUAACCAAGUUGGAGUUGGAGUCAUAAAGAUUAGAUCUUGUUGGGGUUUUAAGGAAGAUGAGGAUCGGGGGAUUUUAGUAGCUUAGUUUGGUUGGCUUAAAAGGGUUUUGAUUCAUCAGGUUCCUUAACCCCCAAAUAAGGAAGGAUGAGGGAAGAAGAUUCAAAUUGGUUUGCUAAGUGGGAAGAAGAAUUGCCUAAACCAGAAGAGUUAAUGCCUUUAUCUCAAACCCUUAUAACACCGGAUCUUGCGAUAGCUUUUGAUAUUCCAAACCCCACAAGCCCAAAUCCUCAGAGCAAACAGCAGCAGACUCCUCAUGUUCAAUCUUCUCAGCCAAAUUCAUCAGCUGAAUUUGAGUCUACUGAGCUGAAUGGGGGAGGAGGGGGAGAUGAACCAGCUAGGACAUUGAAAAGGCCACGUCUUGUGUGGACACCACAGCUACACAAGAGGUUUGUGGAUGCAGUUGCUCAUUUGGGGAUCAAGAAUGCUGUCCCUAAGACUAUAAUGCAACUGAUGAGUGUAGAUGGAUUAACACGCGAAAAUGUUGCGAGUCAUUUGCAAAAGUAUAGGCUUUAUUUGAAACGUAUGCAAGGUCUUUCUAACAGUGGAAGUGGUGGGAGUAAUGCUCAGUCUUUAUCAGGGGCAGGUGUUGAUCCAGCAAUGGAUAAUUUGUUUGCUAGUUCACCUGUUCCAGCACAUUUUCUACAUCCAGGGAGAGGUAAUUCUGACCAUUUCAUGCCGUUUGUGCCAGUGACACCGAUGCCGCAUCACCAUCAUAUGGGAGUGGUUGUUGGACACCAUCCACAAGUUCAACAGCAGUAUAGGCAAUUUGGUUCUCCGGCGAAUGGACAUUUUGAGCAUCCUUUUCUGUCUAGGCAAUCACAGCAGCAGGUUCAGAGGAUGGGGACAUCUGUGCAUAAUGGUAGUCCUGUGGUGUCAUCUUAUGUGGAGGAUGUGGAUUCAGCCACCGCCGUCAAUGGGAGGAAGGUCCUUACACUGUUUCCAACAGGGGAAGAUUGAUAUCAGGGUAACUGUUGAUUUUUAGCCUUUUAUAAAUCCUGUUAAUUUGACUUCUAUGUAUUCUAGAAUUUGAGUUAAAUAACAUUUGCGCU